UACGGAGGGUGCAAGCGUUUUUCGGAAUUACUGGGCGUAAAGCGGGUGUAGGCGGCCGCACAAGUCAGAUGUGAAAUCCCUGGGCCCAACCCAGGAACUGCAUUUGAUACUGCGUGGCUCGAGUCCCGGAGAGGAUGGCGGAAUUCCAGGUGUAGAGGUGAAAUUCGUAGAUAUCUGGAGGAACACCAGCGGCGAAGGCGGCCAUCUGGACGGUGACUGACGCUCAGACCCGAAAGCGUGGGGAGCAAACAGG
rnacentral:rRNA from 1 species